rnacentral:lncRNA from 1 species
AGGCCUGAUCCUGUUCAUAUCAGGAUCCUUUAAAUUUAGACACCUCAGAUAGCAGCUGUUUUUAGGCUUAUGCAGCUCAUGAGUGUGAAACAUUUUCAGAGGAAACUGAUAUUUGAUGACUAUACUGCUUUGUUGUUGACUUCUUUUUGUCAUAAUUUUCCCAGUUUUAGAUCUGAUGUAAAGAUUAUAGAGGUGAGUCAAAAUUUAAAUCUUCGUAAUCUGUGUAUCUGUAGAUUCAGUAUCAUUGAUGACCUGUAGUUUCAUGGUUAGGAAAGGAUUAUUUUAUGUCUCACGUAAAGAAUUUGCAAUGAUGAUAGGACAAUUAAGAAUUAUAAUGGUGGCUAACAAAUGGUCCAAGUUGUCCUACUUGUGCAUCCAGUGUACAUGUAUGAGUCUUUUUGGUUGUCAAUAAUACGGAUGGUGGAAUUGGGUCAUUUCUGGUCUGUCCUUGUGGGAGCUGGGGCUGCAAUGCAAGAAGCUCCCAGCUGACUUCUGGGUCCUGACCAUCAUGUGGCCAGAUAAAUUGGUAACUUUUUUGUUUUGCAUGUUAAAAUGUUUUAAUGACAAACAUUUUGUGCAGUUUACUGAUAGAGGUGAAAUGUGGAGCCUGUUGUUGAUUAUUUCUUCAAGAAGUGAACAUCCUACUUCCUGCCAAGUGUAAGCCCCUGUCCAGAGGUGAGAGACCCCACAUGUGACCUGUGCCUCCGAGGAGAGCAGCCCUAAACUAGUUUAAACCUGACUGAGUUCUGUUGACAUGGUAAAUUUAGACCUUUCCACGCCCUGUUUACUGCAUAUGUUUAGUCCUGACCAGGUUCUGUCCACACUAGGACCUGCUAGAGACCCAGCCUCAGUCCUAAGAGCUUUUCAGGAGACAUGGAGUCCUGAGUAGAGGCCCAGACAGGUCUCAGUCCUGGGAAGCUCUAUGCUUCUGUCUGUGUUUAGAUGUCAGAUCCAAAGCUGAGGUAGGCUUGUCUGGCCACAACCUCUGCUCUGAGUGUGGUUCCCUGCCUUCCAGGGUUCAUUGCAUUGGGAAGGGUCUUAGUCCUGGGGCUGGUAGAGGCUCCUCAGGUGAACUACCUCAUUAUUAAACCAGUUCAACAGGGAGUUCCUGCUCUGGUGCAGUGGGUUAAGAAUCUGACUUCAUCAGCUCUAGUUCACGCAGAGGUACACCUUCAACACCUGGCCUGGCUCAGAGGGUUAAAGGAUCCAGCAUUGCUGCAGCUGCAGCAUAGGUCUAAGCUGCAGCUCAUAUUCAAUCCCUGGCCCAGAAACUUCCAUAUGCUGUGGGUAUAGCCAUUAAAUAAAUAAAUGAUGAACUAAUUCACCAGGAUGCACAAGGUGAAGAGGGAGGCAGUUUUGCCUGGUGAAUUGAUUGCUGAACCAGCAGCAGGGGAAGUUGCCUCUGGGGUCUCCUUCUGGCUGCCCAUUCCUACUCAACAGAAUCCAGACCUGACCUCCUCUUUCAUCCCUGCUUUCUCAUGAGUUUUCUGCAAGGCAGGAAAUGGCCUAGCCUGCCAUAACAAAAGUAGUGUGUUCAACUUUAGUACAUAAGGUUAGAAACAAUUAAAAUAACCCAGAACCAAAGUAAAAAGUGGUGGGAACUGACUUCUCUGGGACAAGCGCUGGGGGAAGAGACAGACCCCACACUUCUUUCACAGCCCUAGCAGGUCCCAGGGACUUGGCUCAUUCCCAUGUUGGGUGCCCACCCAGCACAGCUCUGGAUUCGCCCCACGUCUCAGCUGUCUCCCUCUGUCCCAUCUUGAACACAAUAAAAUGAUGUCUGCUGAUCAUUGUUCGCAACAUAGGCCUAGUCGCUAUCAGGGCCCUUUAAUUUAGGCAUCCUGGUAUAGCAGCUGUUUUUAGGCCUAAAGAGGGAAGAGUUUAUGAGUGUAAAACAUUUUCAGAGGAAAUUAAUAUUUGAUGACUAUGCUACAUGAUUGUUGACUUCUGUUAGUCAUACUUCAGAUUUUAGAUCUAAUGUGGGGUUACAGAGGAGUCAAAAUUUAAGUCUUUAUAAUCUGUAUUCAUAGCUUCAGUAUCACUGAUGAACUGUAGUUUUUAUGUUUAGGGAAGGGUUAUUGAUUUCAUGUCUCAUGUACAGGACUCACAAUGAUAAUAGGGCAAUUAAGAUUACAAUGGUGGGAAUUCUCACUGUGGCACAACAGGAUCAGUGGCAUCUCUGCAGCACAGGUUCAAUUUCCCUGCCCAGCACAGUGGGUUAAAGGAUCCAGUGUUGCCACAGUGUGGUGUAGCUUGCAAUUGUGGCUUGAAUUUGAUCCCUGGCCCGGGAACUGCUUAUGCCAUGGGGUGGC